rnacentral:rRNA from 1 species
UACGUAGGGGGCUAGCGUUGUUCGGAAUUACUGGGCGUAAAGCGUGCGUAGACGGUUAUUUAAGUCAGGUGUGAAAGCCCCGGGCUCAACCUGGGAAUUGCAUUUGAGACUGAAUAGCUAGGGUGCGGAAGAGGGAAGCGGAAUUUCCGGUGUAGCGGUGAAAUGCGUAGAUAUCGGAAGGAACACCAGUGGCGAAAGCGGCUUCCUGGUCCAGCACCGACGUUCAGGCACGAAAGCGUGGGGAGCAAACAGG